UUGGAUGUUUUGGUUUUGUGAGGUUUGGGCUUCUUGGCUAUGGUAGGAGGAGGGGCGGUUGGUGUUGAAUGAUCGUUGGGUGUUUUGGCUAAGGCGACUUUGGUAGGGUGAUGGGGUGGGUGCGAGGCGAUGUUGGGUCUCAGGUUGAUGGUCAAUUUGUUGGUGGUGGUAUGGGGUAUGCUCUUGGUAUUGGGGUUGGGUGUAUGGCAUGUUUUGGUCGUAUGUUUGUGUGUUGGUUGAAC
rnacentral:lncRNA from 1 species